rnacentral:lncRNA from 1 species
GUGCGCGGAUUCUCCGCUUUCCUGAGCGCCGUGGUCGGCGGUUCCGUGGCUGUGGUGCGUGCCGGUGCUGUCGCUGGCGACCUGGCGCAGCCCACGCAGGGACUCCUGAGGGUCCUCGAGGCCGGGAGGUCGGGGGUCGGGAGUUCCAGCCAGACCACGGGGCUUCUCACCAUCCCUCCCACUGCGGCUGCCGUCCUCUGGCCUGGACUGUCUUACCCUUCCACCCUCCUGGCUGAGCUCACCUGUCUCCUUGGAACGCUCUCACAAGCCCCCUGCCAGAAGGCGCUCAUCUGGACCACCUGACCCCACGGGCCCCUCCCCUGCUCGCUUGGCCACACCUCUCCGUGAGAUUGUCCAUCUGUGGCAGCCGUGGUGUGGGGCCAGGGAGGAGAUGCUCUGGGCAGAGGGCCCAGGUGGCGUCUCAGGCUGGGAGUGAUGGUGCUGCCGUGGUUCCAAUGUCUGUGUUCCUCCGAAAUCCAUAUUGAGACUGAAUCCCCAGUGCAACAGGGUCCAGAGCCUCCCCACCCCCCGGCACUCACCAUGAGCUGAGCCUGCUCUGAGGACUGGGGCAGCCCCAGGACCCUACACAGGUGGGGCUCAGCAGCUCCAAGUGAGAAACCCAUGCACUCAGCCUGGGGAGUUCUGGCAGUGACGGGAGGAGGCACCGUCCUGCCCAGGGGGCUGAGAAGGCUGAGCCUUGAGUGAAUGGCAGUGAGCGGACAUCAGCAACUCCAGGAUGGAGCGAGUUCCCAGGGACCCAGAGUGGCUUGGUCUGAGGACAGCGCUCACUCCCAGAUGUGUGGGAAGCCCUUGGCACCAAGCCUCAGCCUUUUCAUCUGUGAAAUGGAGACAUCGUCGCUGAACUUGCAGGCUGUCCCUGAGGGUGAGGCCAUCAGAGAGGGUGGGGGUCAGGGGUCUCACAGCAGGAGCUUAGCUGGUGUCAGCAUCUCCUGGACCCGUUCUCAGCUCCGAGCGCCCGGCCCUGCCACCCAUGUCCAAGUCUGCACUGUGCCCACGAGGCCGUCAAGGCCACAGACAGCCCCACGCCUCUUGGACCCCGCCCUGGCACAGUCCUUGCGUGGGGUGGGUGCUCCUUCUAGGGAAGGAGGAGUAACUCUUGGGUGGUGGGAUGGUUGCCAUGGAAAGGGGCAGUAGCACCCAGGUAUUGCCAUGGCAACCGUUAACUGACAUGGCACACUGGAGGGCGUGUCUCAUGGAAAGCUGCCUGUGCCCCGCCCUGUGUUAGCCGGUCCUCCAUGUGGUCCAGUAUCUGAGCCCCGCCUCCUGCCUCAGAUGCUCCUGUCUGUCACCCCAUUACCAGGGCGGCACCCCGGGUCCUCUCCAGCCGUCACGCUCCUGACAUUUCCGCGCUGGACGCUGCCACACAGGCUGCAUGCUUGCGCGUACCCAGGUCCUCCCCUAUCUGGGAUAAACCAGGCACGUGGAGGCCACCCCAUUUUCCGUCCACCAGCAGUGGAGGAGUUGCCCAGCCUCGCAGGGAAACGUCUCUCAUGUCGGCAGCAGAGCAGCCUGUUCAAGCUUUUAAGUUUUCUGCGGCAGCUUCCACAGCAGACCGUUAUUUCUCUCUGUCCUGGAGGCUGGACGUCCCAGGUCCCGGUGUGGCAGGCCUGGUUCCUCCCAAGGCCUCUCCUUGGCUUGUGGGCGGUGUCUCUUCCCUGGGUCCUCGCAGGGUGGUCCCUCCGUGUGUCUGUGUCCUCCCUUCCCCUUAGAAGGACCCCAGACAGGCUGGAUCAGGGCCUGCCCUAAGGAAUGAAUUUUACUUUAAUCACCUC